CGGGAAACCGGAGCUAAUACCGGAUAAUACUUUGAACCGCAUGGUUCAAAAGUGAAAGACGGUCUUGCUGUCACUUAUAGAUGGAUCCGCGCUGCAUUAGCUAGUUGGUAAGGUAACGGCUUACCAAGGCAACGAUGCAUAGCCGACCUGAGAGGGUGAUCGGCCACACUGGAACUGAGACACGGUCCAG
rnacentral:rRNA from 1 species